rnacentral:tmRNA from 17 species
AGGAUUCGACAGGAUCUAGGAAGCCGGAGGUGCAUGCAGAGGAGCGGUUUGCCUCUUAAAAAGCCGCAUUUAAAUAGUCGCAAACGACGAAACAUACGCACUAGCCGCUUAAUAACCGGCAUAGGCCCUUCCACCCUAGUCUUUUCCUGCUAGCGGGGAUUCGGAAGGUCAUCCAAGUAGGAUAGCGAGGGAACCUUGUCUGAGGGUGAA